GUCAAAGGUUGCCAAAAAAAAAAAAAAAAAAGGUGGCGCAUUUCUCACUAUUUUCUCCGUAACACUUUCUCUGCCUUUUCAGGGUCUCAGGUAGCCUUCUCCAAGCCAUCAAAUGGGGCAUCUUUGGCUGGCACAGGCUGAAGGCUAAGAGAAGUUUGCCACACAGUGUCUUGGAGUGCCACUGCAAUAUGCACUUGGGCUCCGAAGAAGCCGGAAGUUCCUUUUUCCCCCAAAUGACAAGGCCUUCAAUGCAGUGGACAAGCAAGAUAGAAUGGGAGGCACUUGCAGCCUGAAAGAAAAGGAGAAGGUAAUAUAAAGCUGGCUCACAAUGAAAACUCCAGAUGAUCAAGAGGCAGAGAUACCCUAACAGUCCAAAUGAGUUAAGGAAAGGGCCUAAUCCAGGGGCAAAUUGUCAUGGCUUUUACAGCUACUUGACCAGGAACUAAUGGUCCUAGCUUCAGAGGCCUAGGAAGACCCAUUUUGGUGACAUAAUUUGAUGCGCCACUAAAAUGGGUCCCCCAAUAAACCCAAACAUGAAAGUGUGUGGUUCUCUUCA
rnacentral:lncRNA from 1 species